rnacentral:rRNA from 1 species
UGGGGAAUAUUGCACAAUGGGCGCAAGCCUGAUGCAGCCAUGCCGCGUGUGUGAAGAAGGCCUUCGGGUUGUAAAGUACUUUCAGUCGGGAGGAAGGUGGUAAGGUUAAUAACCUUAUCAAUUGACGUUACCGACAGAAGAAGCACCGGCUAACUCCGUGCCAGCAGCCGCGGUAAUACGGAGGGUGCAAGCGUUAAUCGGAAUUACUGGGCGUAAAGCGCACGCAGGCGGUCUGUCAAGUCGGAUGUGAAAUCCCCGGGCUCAACCUGGGAACUGCAUUCGAAACUGGCAGGCUAGAGUCUUGUAGAGGGUGGUAGAAUUCCAGGUGUAGCGGUGAAAUGCGUAGAGAUCUGGCGGAAUACCGGUGGCGAAGGCGGCCCCCUGGACAAAGACUGACGCUCAGGUGCGAAAGCGUGGGGAGCAAACAGG